GUACAAGGUUUCCGUAGGUGAACUGCGGAAGGAUCAUUAAAGAUUAUGAAUGAAUAGAUUACUGGGGGAAUCGUCUGAACAAGGCCUGCGCUUAAUUGCGCGGCCAGUUCUUGAUUCUCUGCUAUCAGUUUUCUAUUUCUCAUCCUAAACACAAUGGAGUUUUUUCUCUAUGAACUACUUCCCUGGAGAGCUCGUCUCUCCAGUGGACAUAAACACAAACAAUAUUUUGUAUUAUGAAAAACUAUUAUACUAUAAAAUUUAAUAUUCAAAACUUUCAACAACGGAUCUCUUGGUUCUCGCAUCGAUGAAGAACGCAGCGAAUUGCGAUAUGUAUUGUGAAUUGCAGAUUUUCGUGAAUCAUCAAAUCUUUGAACGCACAUUGCGCCCUCUGGUAUUCCAGGGGGCAUGCCUGUUUGAGCGUCAUUUCUCUCUCAAACCUUUGGGUUUGGUAGUGAGUGAUACUCGUCUCGGGUUAACUUGAAAGUGGCUAGCCGUUGCCAUCUGCGUGAGCAGGGCUGCGUGUCAAGUCUAUGGACUCGACUCUUGCACAUCUACGUCUUAGGUUUGCGCCAAUUCGUGGUAAGCUUGGGUCAUAGAGACUCAUAGGUGUUAUAAAGACUCGCUGGUGUUUGUCUCCUUGAGGCAUACGGCUUUAACCAAAACUCUCAAAGUUUGACCUCAAAUCAGGUAGGAGUACCCGCUGAACUUAAGCAUAUC
rnacentral:misc_RNA from 1 species